rnacentral:rRNA from 1 species
AGUGAACGCUGGCGGUAGGCCUAACACAUGCAAGUCGAACGGCAGCACAGUAAGAGCUUGCUCUUACGGGUGGCGAGUGGCGGACGGGUGAGGAAUACAUCGGAAUCUACUUUUUCGUGGGGGAUAACGUAGGGAAACUUACGCUAAUACCGCAUACGACCUACGGGUGAAAGCAGGGGAUCUUCGGACCUUGCGCGAUUGAAUGAGCCGAUGUUGGAUUGGCUAGUUGGCGGGGUAAAGGCCCACCAAGGCGACGAUCCGUAGCUGGUCUGAGAGGAUGAUCAGCCACACUGGAACUGAGACACGGUCCAGACUCCUACGGGAGGCAGCAGUGGGGAAUAUUGGACAAUGGGCGCAAGCCUGAUCCAGCCAUACCGCGUGGGUGAAGAAGGCCUUCGGGUUGUAAAGCCCUUUUGUUGGGAAAGAAAAGCAGCAGGUUAAUACCCCGCUGUUCUGACGGUACCCAAAGAAUAAGCACCGGCUAACUUCGUG